AUUGAACGCUGGCGGCAUGCCUUACACAUGCAAGUCGAACGGCAGCAUAGGAGCUUGCUCCUGGUGGCGAGUGGCGAACGGGUGAGUAAUAUAUCGGAACGUGCCCUAGAGUGGGGGAUAACUAGUCGAAAGACUAGCUAAUACCGCAUACGAUCUACGGAUGAAAGUGGGGGAUCGCAAGACCUCAUGCUCCUGGAGCGGCCGAUAUCUGAUUAGCUAGUUGGUGGGGUAAAAGCUCACCAAGGCGACGAUCAGUAGCUGGUCUGAGAGGACGACCAGCCACACUGGGACUGGGACACGGCCCAGACUCCUACGGGAGGCAGCAGUGGGGAAUGUUGGACAAUGGGGGCAACCCUGAUCCAGCAAUGCCGCGUGAGUGAAGAAGGCCUUCGGGUUGUAAAGCUCUUUUGUCAGGGAAGAAACGGUUCUGGAUAAUACCUGGGACUAAUGACGGUACCUGAAGAAUAAGCACCGGCUAACUACGUGCCAGCCGCCGCGGUAA
rnacentral:rRNA from 1 species